GGGACAGUGGCACAACGGAUAACGCGACUGACUAAGAAUCAGGAGAUUCCAUGUUCGAAUCCUGGCAGUCUCG
rnacentral:tRNA from 1 species